AUCUAGCUGACGGUCUUUCGAAAACAGUCCUUCUACCUCCACGAUCCAGUGGUAAAGUUAUCCUCUCCGAGCCCCACUUAUGAAAUUUCACUGAAUAUGUUGUUGUUGACAUUGACAAUUGCGAAAGCUUUCUAUACCCAGCUGACGGUAUUCCGGAAACAGCUUCUCUACCUCCACAAGACAUACCUCUACAAGACAGUGACAACGUUUGCAUGCACUUUAUUCUCUCCGGAUCCCACUAAUGGAAUUUCUCUGAGUAUGUUAUUAUUGACAUUGAAAAUUGUGAAAACUUUUUAUACAGUCGUUUGGAAACCGUCUUUCUACCUCCACAAAGCAGCGGUAACGUCUACCUGCACUUUAUCCUCUCCGGGCCCCACUUAUUGAAUUUCACGAGUAUAUUGUUGUUGACAUUGAAAAUUGUGAAAAACAGUCUUUAUACCUCCACGAGCUAGUGGUAAAAUCUGCGUAUGCACUGUACUCUCUCGACGUACUCUACUUGUGUGAUCUCACUGAAUACGUUGUUGUUGAACCUCCACGAGCUAGUGGUAAGAUCUGCGUAUGCACUGUACGCUCUGUACGGACUCUACUUGUGUGAUCUCACUGAAUACGCGGUUGUUGUUGUUGAAUUAGAAGGAAGAAAUCAAUUGGAGGAGUGGGAUUUACAGUUGGAAAAUGAGAGAAUGUAAGGGUAUAAUAGACAUUUACUUCUUCUUCCGACAGCUUUUUAGAGCUGGUGAAUAUAGAGAUUCCGGCACCGGUGGUGGUGGUCAUCGGUGGAGAUGCCACCGGAGACGACAGUUGGUGGUGGUUAUUCUCUUGUUGAAGGAGGCGUUGACUUUAUGAUUUGUGAUUAAAGUUUAUGUUAAAAAGAAAUAAUC
rnacentral:lncRNA from 1 species